rnacentral:rRNA from 1 species
AGCAGCCGCGGUAAUUCCAGCUCCAAUAGCGUAUAUUAAAGUUGUUGCGGUUAAAAAGCUCGUAGUUGGAUUUCUGUUCCAGACUGGCGGUCCACCGCUCGGUGGUUACUGUCAGGCCUGAACAUCCGGUCGGUUCAAUCAAUUUCCCGCGGUGCUCUUCGUUGAGUGUCUCGGGAGGCCGACAAGUUUACUUUGAAAAAAUUAGAGUGCUCAAAGCAGGCGGUCAGCCUGAAUAAUGGUGCAUGGAAUGAUGGAAUAGGACCUCGGUUCUAUUUUGUUGGUUUUCGCAACUCGAGGUAAUGAUUAAGAGGGACAGACGGGGGCAUUCGUAUUGCGACGCUAGAGGUGAAAUUCUUGGACCGUCGCAAGACGAACUACUGCGAAAGCAUUUGCCAAGAAUGUUUUCAUUAAUCAAGAACGAAAGUUAGAGGUUCGAAGGCGAUCAGAUACCGCCCUAGUUCUAACCAUAAACGAUGCCAACCAGCGAUCCGCCGGAGUUCCUUCUAUGACUCGGCGGGCAGCUUCCGGGAAACCAAAGUCUUUGGGUUCCGGGGGAAGUAUGGUUGCAAAGCUGAAACUUAAAGGAAUUGACG